UGGGGAAUUUUGGACAAUGGGCGAAAGCCUGAUCCAGCAAUGCCGCGUGUGUGAAGAAGGCCUUCGGGUUGUAAAGCACUUUUGUCCGGAAAGAAAUCCUCUGGGUUAAUACCUCGGGGGGAUGACGGUACCGGAAGAAUAAGCACCGGCUAACUACGUGCCAGCAGCCGCGGUAAUACGUAGGGUGCAAGCGUUAAUCGGAAUUACUGGGCGUAAAGCGUGCGCAGGCGGUUUUGUAAGACGGAUGUGAAAUCCCCGGGGCUUAACCUGGGAACUGCAUUCGUGACUGCAAGGCUAGAGUAUGGCAGAGGGGGGUAGAAUUCCACGUGUAGCAGUGAAAUGCGUAGAGAUGUGGAGGAAUACCGAUGGCGAAGGCAGCCCCCUGGGCCAAUACUGACGCUCAUGCACGAAAGCGUGGGGAGCAAACAGGAUUAGAUACCCUGGUAGUCCACGCCCUAAACGAUGUCAACUAGUUGUUGGGGAUUCAUUUCCUUAGUAACGUAGCUAACGCGUGAAGUUGACCGCCUGGGGAGUACGGUCGCAAGAUUAAAACUCAAAUGAAUUGACGGGGUCAUAGCUGUUUCCU
rnacentral:rRNA from 1 species